rnacentral:rRNA from 1 species
UAGGGAAUCUUCGGCAAUGGACGAAAGUCUGACCGAGCAACGCCGCGUGAGUGAAGAAGGUUUUCGGAUCGUAAAACUCUGUUGUUAGAGAAGAACAAGGACGUUAGUAACUGAACGUCCCCUGACGGUAUCUAACCAGAAAGCCACGGCUAACUACGUGCCAGCAGCCGCGGUAAUACGUAGGUGGCAAGCGUUGUCCGGAUUUAUUGGGCGUAAAGCGAGCGCAGGCGGUUUCUUAAGUCUGAUGUGAAAGCCCCCGGCUCAACCGGGGAGGGUCAUUGGAAACUGGGAGACUUGAGUGCAGAAGAAGAGAGUGGAAUUCCAUGUGUAGCGGUGAAAUGCGUAGAUAUAUGGAGGGACACCAGUGGCGAAGGCGGCUCUCUGGUCUGUAACUGACGCUGAGGCUCGAAAGCGUGGGGAGCAAACAGG